GCUAAUUCUUAUUCACUUAUUUUUACAAUUUAUGAAGUUUAUGAACAUUUAAAAAUAAUUUUUCAGUUUUAUUGUCACAGCGAAGUCUUUAAGAAAAUUUUAGUCAAUAAGGAUGGACUGUAAUGAAAAUAGCAUGAUUUAUAAUAUAUAUCAACACCUAGAACGUAUAGAAAAAAAUCUGUUGUUUUUGGCCAAAUAGAAAACAAACACAACGUUGCUGUCAUAAAUUUCGGCACUAAUACCGCAAUAUAAAAUGAAAAAUGUUGUGCUGUUAAAUGUAAAAGAUUUAAACAAAUUCGGGGGAGAUUCGAUAAAUACUAAAGACACAUAGAUGUGGCCAACUUAACUAUAAUUUUCAGUUUUGUUAUUCAGAUACCUAAUUUGCACGGAUCCCAAAAUUUUUCCCUUGCCAUAUUUCAAACAAAUAAACACCAUCUAUUAUAAUCGUUUACACAAUCUUUAACAAAAGUCUUGAACUUGAUAUUGAAUUCUCAGACAAAUCAUCUGAAUCUUUUGGGUAACCCAUACAUAUGCCUAACAUACAUAUGUUGUGUUAUCGAAGCGAACAUAUUCAUUUGUUACUAACGAAAACUGAGGGAAAAUAUUUGAAAAGUUGCCAACAAAAUUUAUGCAACGCGCAGCAAACAUCGAAAGAUUUUAAGACACCUAACCCAUCUAUCUACGUGUGUUGUUUUUCAAAAAACGCAAAACUUUUGCUUUUCAUCAGAACACGAAUUUUCCACUGGCGGAUAUUAAAAUACAUAUCAAACCGCCAUUCCAACAAUCAAAUUAUAUACGUUUAAGAAAUAUGUACAAAUUAAUUCUUUAUAUAUAUUAAAUGAAAGCCAGGCUACAGCAGCCACGCAGGAUGCUUAUAUAAUCCAGAAAUGUUGUCGCCUCUGCUCUUUCUUGAAAAGUUUGCGCAUUUUCAAUUUUUACUUUGGUAACUGUCACUUCUGCCCCGCCUGUUUUCGUUUUCAUUUUCAAUUGCUGCCGUCAAGUGGCGCUGAGAUUACGUAAAUGCGCCCAGCAGCUUUUCCAUUCCACAGCGACUCCUAACCACCAAGCAACCAACCCAUCAACCAGCUGGCAGCCUUUGGGGGCUGGUGCCGCGUAGGAUUUCACAUAGAACAAUAGACCUAAACCCCAACUAACAAGUGGGGGAAAAGCGAAAUGGCAUGUACUAUACUGGGCUGACCUUGAAAAGCUUGCGAAACAAGCUCGCGGAUAUGUAGAUACAAUAGCAGCCACUGGCGAUUUCGUUACUGUUGACACACAGUUGAGAAAGCACUUAGCAUAUGGGGGUAUAGAACGUACAGAGCGGGUCAUUUUUAUAGGCCCUAUGGUUGUCUUUCUUAAAAUAUAUUUACCACACUAAUCGACUAUUUUUCGAGAAGGUUUAAAAUUACUUUUUUGUUACUUAUACGAUAAAUAUUUAUUUUUUGUGUCCAAAUUAGAGAGAAAUAAACCAGGGUAUUGUAUUUCAAAUAAGUAUGCCUGCCAAAAGCCUUUAUAAAUUCUUCCAAGUUCACAAAGUUAAUAUUUUACCCGCAACUGUAUGUAUAUCUUUUUAAGAGAUUAGUGUAGAACUGAGGCUGCAUGUGACGAGCCUACAGUAAGCUAAGUCCCGCUUGAUUCCUCAGAUGUGAUCGCUUACACACUAAGCCUCGACAUACGCGAUCUUUAUCCGCACAUCUGACGAAUCGAAACAACUUGCAUAACUUUCUCGAACGUAUGAAUGGUGGGCAAUGUUUAUAGUAGCAUUUAGUCAUUGACUGAUUGCGACCCCUGUGGAGGCCAGCGAUCGAGAAUGUAGCUGCAAAAACGAAAGCCAAAAAUGAGUAAACCAUUUGAAAUAUGUGUUAUUAAUUAGUUCAAUUUGCGGCCAACGAAGCACGAGCCCAACUUAAUGCCCAGUGCCCGCUAUCCGGGCAAUUAGCUGUGAAAUUACUGCUUCAAAAUGGAACGGAGGAGGAGCUCUAGCACUAGCAAAGCAGUGGCUAAUUAUCCACGGAUUGCAACAGAUUAUAGCCAUAAAAUGAAACGAAAACGCAUAUAUGCUAAAAGCUCUGUUCUGUUGUCAACUUUCCAUCUGUGUUUCGGCUCUUGCCUUUUGUUUGCUAAACAAUAUUUUGGCAGAACAUCAAAAGCGACGCUUGCCAAAAGCAAUUUUUUGCACAGACGCGAGCCAAGUGCUUAAAAUAUAUAUCCGUACAUAUGUACAGGCAAAUUAUACUUAUGCAUAUAUAUGAGGGUACAUCAAACAAGACACCUAAAUGAAGACCUCUGUCCAUCAGGAACUUCAGGCAUUAUGAAAGAGGGCCCAAAGGCGGAUCAGAUAUGAGGCAUGACGCCAGGCUAAAAUGGGAUCUAUCCGCAGCAGGAGGCAAAUAUUGCUGCUGCCGGGCUAAUCUGAUGCAUAUGAACAAUGAAACGUAACGAAAUGUGUGUACGUUGUCGCGCCACAACAGCCAGCCUCUGCUGCGUUUCCAAAUAUAAAUAAACUUUGCAUGGGGGAGAUCAUGUGACCCGACUACAGGCGACGCGACAGGUCUCAUAAUGGCCCGUCAGAGGCACGUCAUUACGAUUUCCAUUUCUCGUGGGCAGCCUGCCAAAAACUAAUAAACCUGCCUCGCAGGGCGGCCAGAGAUCCUUGAACACCUGACAACAUUGGGGCAAGGACAAGUCGGCAGGGCUUGCGUGCCCCAAGGUUUUCUUCGAUUAAUAUUAAUGGAAAAUCAAUUGCGCGCAAUUAGAGGAAGUGGAGACCAAACACAUGGCGAUGUUGAGGUUCAUAAAUAAACUGUAAACUGCACAUGCAGGACCAGAUCCCAAACUGGCGACGCCAUCCAUCAUCAUCAUCAUCAUCAUCAUCAUCAUCAUCAUGCUGGUGAUCCAACGAAUUUGCUGACGCUGCACCGUUGUGUCGCCAAGCAAGCGGCUGUCUUUCUGCCGCAUGGCAACUAUUUUCGCCCGUUGAAGAGAAGUCAUCCGAGUGCAUUGAACCCACUUCCCACCAUGGCAGAUGCGGAAAAAUUAAAUUUAAAAACUCAAAAGUUACCGAAAUAAAACCAAAAGAACGCUAUAGCUGAGUGGCCUCAACUUAGAGAUACCUGCUACUAACUGCUAUGGGUUAAAAUUCGUGGCCUACCUUCACGCGUGUAUUUUAUAUAAGCUCGGCAUAACCAAUAAAUUAUAAAAUUUGUUAGAAAUCUA